GUGCUGGCUUCUGCAGCACAUAUACUAAAACCGGGACAGUAUGGAGAAGAUUAGCAUGCCUCUAGUGCAAGGAUGACACAUAGAUUCAUGAUGAAUAUCAUUUUUUG